CUCACUGGCUGUGAAGAAUGUCAAUCAGAGGGAGCACCCACUCUGUCCAUUCCUCUUCCACAGACUGAAAACCAAGUGAGGAGACGAAGGUUUGCACCGUACUACACCAGAGAAUACAGAGAGGAUAGACCCCACAGACCCUAACCAUCACCCAAGGAACAACUACACAACUGUGGGAAGACAUCCAGUCCCUUCGCAGCAUUGCUAAACACAGAGAAGGUUGGGCCUAAUGAACCAUUGACUCAUUCCUACAGUGAGAGGCUGUUCAAAUGUGAAGAGAGCUCCACAGGCUUGUGACAUCUAACAAGCGAGGUGCAUCUUUUACAACCACUGUUAACACAAAAACAGCUGUAUGGAAGAAAACCCCUUCAAGUGAGAGGCGUGUGAUAAAAGUUUCAAGACUUCUAUGAGUCUCCUGAGACACCAGAUGAUUCACACGGGAGAAACCAUUCACCUGUGAGGUGCAUGACAAAUCAUUCUUGGACUGAUCCGCCCUCUGCCGACACUGAUGCAUUCACACAGGGGUGAAACCAUUCGCAUGUGAUGUGUGUAACAAAUCAUUGUCACAGUCAUCAACGCUCAUGUGACACCGGCACAUUCACACCAGGGAGUUGUUCAAGUGUGAGCUAUGUGAUAAAGCCUUCAUAAAUUUCUCAAGGCUCCUGGUCCAUCAGUCAGGCCACACAGGGGCUAAUCCAUUCACAUGCGCGGUUUGUGACAAAUGUUUCUCAAGGUCAUCAAACCUCCUGCUCCAUCACAAGAUCCACACAGGGGAGAAACUCUUCAAGUGUCUGGUUUGUGAUAAAGCCUUUGGGAUAUUUCCAAGCCUCCUGAGACACCAGAGGGUUCACACAAACAAGAAACCAUUCAAGUGUGAGAUGUGUGACAAAUCCUUCUCUAGGUCUUCCCAACUCCUGCUCCAAGACAGGAUCCAUAAAGGUGAGUAAAGCUUCAGGUGUGAGGCCUGUGACAAAGCUUCAGGUGUGAGGCCAUUGACAAAGCUUCAGGUGUGAGGCCUGUGACAAAGCUUCCCUUACCUGAGGAACUCCCCUUCCCUUCCCUUGACCCUCCUGGGACACCAAAGGAUUCACACAGGAGAGAAAUUCAUCAGGUACAAUGUUUUUCACAAAGCUUUCACCCAAUCCUCUGGUAUCAGAUGUACCAGAGGGUCCAAGGUAGUGAGAAACCAUUCAGGUAUGACGUGUGUGACAUGGCUUUCACACAGUCAGUGUAUCUCCUGAAUGAUCAACACACUCACAUAGGCAGGGGAAUCUCUGUUGGUGUGAGUCUGUAAGAGAGCCUUCACACAUUUUUCGAACCUUCUGGAACAUCAAUGAACCCACAUGGGAGAUAAACCCUUCCAGUGUUCCUUGCAUAGGUCGGCCUGGAGUAGUUAGAUUUUAGUACAAAUUGACAAUUGUUAUCCUAUAAUCACUUAAGUAACCAGAAAGUCAAGGAAGCCAUUUUAACACUGACAUGUGGCAGAGGAAGCAAUUUUGUAUCCCAUAUUAACUAUUGAACAAAUUACUGUAUUCAGUCGCAGUUAGUCAUGGAACAGAUGUUUGUAACAGUAAUGGGUGCACCUUCAUUCAGUUAUAACUUAUGAACUGGUGUAAUCAAAAGUCAUAUCAGAAAGACUGCAUUUUCAUUUACAUGUUAAUGUAUAAUCAAUCUAUAUGUGUCUGUGUGAAAAAGUGCACUUUCAGGUGAAACUGCUCAAACAAUGGAAUCUUGUUGAAAUAGGGUCCCUGGGACAGCACCGCCUUAGAGUCUGACUGAAUGAAUAGAGAACAAGAACAGAAUUAUCUGGAAAAACUCAGCAGGUCUGGCAGCAUCGGCGGAGAAGAAAAGAGUUGACGUUUCGAGUCCUCAUGACCCUUCAACAGAACUAGAGAGUUGUUCAAAAUCAAAUAAAGGAACAGUGUGAAGCAGUCCCAUUGUAUUUCUGUCUGAGAUACUGAGACCAGGUGGCUUCUCGUGGAAAGAUGUAAAUAAAGGCAAUCAAGUUUACCCAGCAACAUGUAGUGCCACUCAUAGAACAAUAAUAGCCUGACUGUGAAAUGGGGUGCUGGUCGGCCAGGAAUUAAAAAGAGGGUUCCAUGAGGUUUUGUUGUGAGUCAGAUUGUGGAGGCUCCAGAGUGUGAACCACCUGUCAAUGUCCACAAGUGGGAUUGAGAUUGAGACCAAGAGCUGAGAGGGUGAACAGACUGUGCAAUUGGCUGAAGCUGCAAUCAUUCUCCUCACUUUGUUAACAAUGUUGUUUCUUUCAUAAACUUUCUAAAAUUUACUAUCCAAAGAUUCCUCGUUUGCCAGUUGGUUAAGUCUCGUAUGAACAAAAGUAGAAAUCACGCUCCACUUUUAUACAAUUAAACCAAAUUACAGUGAGAAUUUUAAAUUGGAGGCACUGGGGGUCUGGGAACCAGUGUGGGUCAGCGAGCAUUGGGGUGAUAGGUGUUUGAGUUAGGACAGAGACCGCAGAGUUUUAGCUGACCUGAAGUUUAUGGAGGGUGAAAGAUGGGAACCUGGACAGGAGAGCAUUGGAAUGGGUCUAGUCUAGUCGAGAAGCAACAACAGCAUGGAUGAGGAUUUCAAUAGCAGAUGGACUAAUGUGGAAGUGGGGGUGUUGGAAACGGGCAAUGUUACCGAGGCGGAAAUGGGUGAUUUUAGCGAUGGAGUGGGUUUGGGGUCGGAAGCUCAGCUGGAGGUUGAAGAGGAUGACACUGACCAAUUGUUGGAGAUGAGAGUGGAGAGGGCAAUGGAGAGGAAUUUAAGUAAUGUAGGAACUGGAGUAAGCCCUUGAGCCUGUUACACCAUUCAUUCAAAUCAUGGCUGAUCUGUAUCGGAACUCUAUCUACCUGCCUUGGCUCUGUAACCCUUAAUCCCCUUGUCUAACAAUAAACCUAUCAAUCUCAGUUCUGAAUUUUUCAAUUGACCCCCCAAACCUGAACAGAUUUUUAUGGGGAGAGAGUUAAAGAUUUCCAGUCCCCUUUUUGUGAAGAUGUAAUUGCUGACAUCACCCCUGAAUAGCCCAGCUCCAAUUUUAAUGCUCUGCCUCCUUGUUCUGGACUCUCCCACCAGAGGAAUACCGGUUUCUCUCUAACUACUCUAUCAUCUCGUUUAAUCAUCUUAAACACUUCAAUUAGAUUACCCCUUAAUUUUCUAGCUCAGCCUGUGCAACCUGUCCUCAUAACUUAACCCUUUUAGCCUCAGGAACAUUCUGGUGAAUCUGUGCUGCACUCCCUCCAAGGCCAGGAUAUCCUUCCUGAGGUGCAGUGCCCAGAACUGAGCACAGUUCUCCAGAUGGGGUCUAAACAGAGCUCUGUACAACUGGAACAUAACUUCCACAAGGACAUAGUUGGUUUUGGGGAGAAGAAGUUGUGGGUUAUCUUUUCUCUUUAGGGUGGUCCUGAAGUAAUGAGCAGUUUUGGCAGUGGAAAGCAGGACCACUAGUGCUUGAUGUAGUCCAGUCAGGUCUAGCAAUGGAUGGCUAAACCAGCUGUGUACCAGAUACGCUCAAAUCUUCACCCCUUGGACUUGAGAAGCAGGGAGAUCAAGCAGGAAGUAAUUUUGGGAACAAGAAUGUAGAAGGUGGAUGUGAGGGAGUGAUUAAACCAGAUUGAUGGCUGCAGAAGCAUUGUGGUGAAUGGAGAGUCAAAGUACAGAGAGUUGGGAAGUAGAUGUGUGCGUGUGCGCAUUUGUGUUUGUAAAGUGAGGCAGCUGUCAGGAGUGCGUAUGGGGUAGAAUUGGACCCUGCUUUAGUUGGUGAUGUGAGUUAUAGACAAAUCCUCUAAAGGUGACGGGUGUUUGACUAAUACCAUGGGGAAUGUUUGUAUUCUGCUGUCUGAGAGGAUUAUUAUCCAGAGUGGGGUGAGUCUCUACAGACCUGAGUUCCCUCAGCCCAUCAUACCUCGAUAUAAUAACAGUGUGAUAUGUUCACUCUGCACUCUUCCAAAAUUCAUUUCAUGUUCUGGAAAAUAACUUGAGCCAUUUUCAAAUGCCUUGUCAUUUUUGUUUGAUUUAAAGUUGAUUAUUGUGUUUGUAUGUUGUUUUAUCAAUCUUGUGUAUAGAUUUAUAACUCUUAAUAAAUUCUCUUUCACCUGUUCUGUCA